UGGGGAAUAUUGCACAACGGGCGCAAGCCUGAUGCAGCCAUGCCGCGUGUAUGAAGAAGGCCUUCGGGUUGUAAAGUACUUUCAGCGGGGAGGAAGGGAGUAAAGUUAAUACCUUUGCUCAUUGACGUUACCCGCAGAAGAAGCACCGGCUAACUCCGUGCCAGCAGCCGCGGUAAUACGGAGGGUGCAAGCGUUAAUCGGAAUUACUGGGCGUAAAGCGCACGCAGGCGGUUUGUUAAGUCAGAUGUGAAAUCCCCGGGCUCAACCUGGGAACUGCAUCUGAUACUGGCAAGCUUGAGUCUCGUAGAGGGGGGUAGAAUUCCAGGUGUAGCGGUGAAAUGCGUAGAGAUCUGGAGGAAUACCGGUGGCGAAGGCGGCCCCCUGGACGAAGACUGACGCUCAGGUGCGAAAGCGUGGGGAGCAAACA
rnacentral:rRNA from 1 species